GAUGAACGCUGGCGGCGUGCCUAAUACAUGCAAGUCGAGCGAACAGAUGAGGAGCUUGCUCCUCUGACGUUAGCGGCGGACGGGUGAGUAACACGUGGAUAACCUACCUAUAAGACUGGGAUAACUUCGGGAAACCGGAGCUAAUACCGGAUAAUAUAUUGAACCGCAUGGUUCAAUAGUGAAAGACGGUUUUGCUGUCACUUAUAGAUGGAUCCGCGCCGCAUUAGCUAGUUGGUAAGGUAACGGCUUACCAAGGCAACGGUGCGUAGCCGACCUGGGAGGGGGAUCGUCCCAAUGGAAAUGAGAAAAGGUUCCGAACCCCAAGGGAGGGCGGCGUGGGGAAUACUGCCGCAAGGGGCAAAACCCGAACGAGCCAAGGCCGGGGGGGGAAGAAAGGUUUUGGAAUCGAAAAACCCUUUAGUUGGGAAAAAAAAAAGUUAGAAAAAACCUUGCUGUUUUUAAGUGUCCCAAAUAAAAAGGCCCCGGUAAACUAGGG
rnacentral:rRNA from 1 species